rnacentral:rRNA from 1 species
AUUGAACGCUGGCGGCAGGCCUAACACAUGCAAGUCGAACGAGUGGCGGACGGGUGAGUAAUGUCUGGGCAACUUCCUGAUGGAGGGGGAUCACCACUUGAAACCGUCGCUAAUACCCCCUUCCAUCCGUUGUGCCCAGCGGGGAUGAGCUGGUGGGUGGGGUAACGGCUCGCCAGGGCGGCGAUACGCAACGGGUCUGAGAGGAUGAUCAGUCACACGGGAACUGAGACACGGUCCAGACUCCUACGGGAGGCAGAGGUGGGGAAUAUUGGACAAUGGGCGAAGGCCUGAGGCAGACAGGCCGCGGGUGGGAAGAAGGUUUUCGGAUUGUAAAGCACGUUAAGUGGGGAGACGUUACCAACAGAAUAAGCACCGGCUAACUACGUGCCAGCAGCCGCGGUAAUUC